UCAUGGUGGGGAUCCCCACAGUAUGAGGAACUGUAUUAAAGGUCAUAGCAUUAGGAAGCUUGAGAAGCUUUAUCUCAUUGGAAUGAUAAGUGAAAAGGUGAUCAACCAACAUGUUGCAUGCCACUGGGUAAAAUUACAAUUUUGCCCUUAGUCGGAAGGGAUUUAACUUCACAUAUAAAUGAGAUGAUUUUCAAACUGAAAUCUGAGAGACUGAAAAUUUAUUUUGAGAGUCUGAAUCUUGAUCUGGGUGGAUGAUUUGGUCAACAAGGUGUUUGCUAUGUGAGUUCAAAUACCCCAGUUCAGAUGCCCAGAGCACACGGAAAAUGGUAGUGUGGGACCUAUGCCUACAUCCCUGUGAUGGAGAAGCCGGGGCGUCUCUGAGACUGCUGGUCAGCUAGUCUAGUCAAAUUAGUAAGCUCCAGGUUCAGUGAGAGACUCUCUCCAAACUAAGGUGGCUAUUGAUCAAGGAAGGGAGCUAAUGUGAACCUCUAACCUCUAUAGACUCAGACAGAGUUGAGCAUGAGCACACAUACACACAAAAUACGAAAUUUUGAAUCUUGACAUGUUAGAAAGCGGGAUGUAUUCCUAUCUGCAAAGGUCAAGUGAUUAGGAAGCCAUGAUAGAGCUUUUGUUUUGACAAUUCAUCUUGGGAAGACACCGUAGGUCACCCAAUAACUUACAGAUUUGAUAGAUUUUCACAGAUAUAAGUCUUCACUUCUGUUUUUGCCAAAGAAUCUGACUGGAUUCCAGGAUUUCUUAGGGGGCUUUCGUGAGGGUAAGGCAGGCUUUAUGUCUUUAAGGAAGCUUGGCCCAACUCUGCUGGCUCACCAAUGGAAAGGUUGGCAAAAUUCCAAAGGUGAUUUGCAUGAGAUCUGUUAUGUCACAGGGUGGAGUGUGUUUGGGUGGGUGAAAGGGGAAGCCUAUAAUUUUAUAGCUAUUAGUUGAACAUUUCUGCUAAGCCUCUUUUUAUUCUAAAAAAUUGGAAAGAAUCUCAGCACUUGGGACAAUUCUAUGCUGCUCCGCCACCAGAAUAGAAUCUACCCAGACUCGGUACUAAUUCUGACCAUACAAGUAAUCAGAGUAUAAAUAUUGAGCCCCAAAUAUUGACUACCUUUGUCUCCCUUCCUUCCUUCCUUCCUUCCUUCCUUCCUUCCUUCCUUCCUUCCUUCCAUCCUUUCUUUCUUUCUUUGUGAUCAGCAUUGUCUUUUGUGAAGAUUUUUCUGUGUAAAGAGGUAGGGUUUUGAACUUAAUCCUAACUGCUUAGGAAAGAUGGCGCCACUGCUGUCUUGCUUAGAAAGAUGGAGCAUGGUUAAGCUCACUACAGAGCCAUGAAUUGCUUCUGUAUUGAUAGCCAUCAUGUGUGCCGGAUGUACACACGUUCUUCUAGCUUCUUGAAUAGAACACUAGAUGAUUGCUCUAUCAAUAAAUUAGAACAACAACCAUGUCAUGCUUUCUCGCUGCCUAGGGUCACCCUCAUGUGACGCUUAGCGACUUCACUACACGUGGGUAAUCAGGUGAAGGAGCACCCCGCCAUCAUCCAUGGGUCAGCUAUGUGGACUCUAGCUGCCAAAGGCGCUUCUCCUUCUGAACCGAGCGCUUUGCUCAGCCAGUGUAGACAUGGCCUGAUAAACAAUGGAACUUCUGCCUUGAGAACUGGAGUGUGACUUGGUCUAAUCCUUUAACUGAGAAUCGGGCACAGGUUUGAUGAAUGGUUGCGAUGACGGCAUUUCUAGUAAAGCGGAUCCUAAAUUGGCGAUAAUGGGAUGAGCAGCGUAAUUUAUAAUGAACUUCAAAGGGGUAGUACUGAGUGCGGCAGAAGCUAAUCAAGGCGCCAUCAAAUCAAAGGUUUCGCGUGAGCUUAACUAUGUGUGGCAGGGAGGUUCUUGCAGGCUUAUAUCUGUCAGAGUGUUGCCUGGCCAUGUCAUUUUUAAACCAAGGUGUCACCUACCUCAGGAGAAGCAACCUGCCUUGUGCUCUCCUCCCUCUGUUUUGUUGGGGAGCGCAAAUGAAGCGGGGGUGCCUUUGCAAACCCCACACUUUGAUUUUGCAGGCUCACAGGCUGGCAGAGUCAGGGAGGACGUGGCUAAUGACCAGCAACCCUGCACCCCGUCCAGGCUGCCUGUGGGGAGUGUUUCCUGACCUGUCCAGAGAAGUCUGUCCAGGGUCAUUGAGAUAACCUGAGAUUUCAAUCAGGUUCAUGAAGGAUGCUGGAAACAUGAAUCACUGUCUGUGUUUUUCUUUUCAUGCACUUAACCCACUAAGGAAAGUGGGGAAGGUGGGGGCAUAAGCCUUAAUACACAACCCGUCUCUCCUAGGAUAUGACACACUCCAAACCAGGCCUUCCCAGACCCUCUAUAGCUCACCAAGCUUCCAAGUUUUAAAUAUUAAAACCAUGAGGCUAGUUUUUCACAUAUUGAAAACAACUCGAUUUGGGAGCUGGGUUAAAAAAAAAAAAAAACCUGAGACUUGUACUUUGACUUUUUGAUCAUUUGUCUAUUUCCUCAGGAAAAAAGAAAGUGUUACUGGUGAUAUGAAUUAACUGUGAGAAACCUAAGAGAAAUAUUACCUUCCAAUUCUCUUCAAAAUAGAUGCUCACAUUAUCUUUAAAUGGUGGCUAAGUGGUUCAGCGAGAAGCAAGCAGCGUUAACAGCUUCAGAAAAUAUAAACCCUGUCUCUUUAGAAGUGCGAGUUGUGCUGAAGAGCCCAUACGCUUAAUUCGUGGAGCAGCCACACAGUCUUUGCUGCUGUAUUUCGUUAGAAAAGAAGGAGAGGCUGUUUCUACAGGGUGUCACAGGAAAAUCGAUGCUGAGCCACGGAUUAUUGGAUCCCACAGAACCGUGGAGACUCGGCAGUGAAAUUCUUCCAAAGCCUCUUCUGGAUCUCUGAGUUGAAAGAAAAAGAACAAAACAAAACAACAACAAAAAAGCAAAGCUGUUCCUCCCACCUCGGUUGCUUCCCUGCAUCGCUUAGCAUUCCAUCUGCGAAGGCAGAGGUGUCCCUGGUUUGGGAAGUAUAAAUCCCGUGGGAAGUCAGCUGGAGAACAUUUUACGCAUCGCUCAUUCUGUUACGAGCCUGCUGCUCUUCCCUCUCCCGACAAGCGUACACUUUUAAACUGUCUGAAACACUAGAGGCUGUGUAUUUUCACUGCUCAAACUCUGGCUAAGUAGACAGCGUCCUGACGCUGGCUGUGCCCGACAUCCCUGCUCCACGCAAGACAACGGAUGAGAAGAGCACAGAAAUAUAAAUAAAAUAACUGGAAGUGAAAAUCUUUGAAUUUCCCAUUCGAUGUGGGCUCUUUCUGGACUCCCCUUUCUUCCGUUUCUCUUUGAUGCUUCUAUUGUAUUCCACUUGGCAGUUAAAGGACAGAAGCAGCAAUAAGGCUGCCUGGCUACAUUUUCCCAGUGCCCCCAACUGCGAGUUAAGCUGACGAACAUUUCGAGAGCUCGGCCCAUUUCAUUCACAGCGGGACGGCAGGAGUUGCCAUGAAGAAUAAACUAAAAAUCAUGCUUUUAUUGUACAUUUGUGUUGAAUCUCAGGACUGGAGACGAUGAAAUUCUGCUCAGCAAGGUUAUGCUUCGCAUCACCCACCAGGGAGGAUCAUCUCUCAUGAAAAACUUUCAAAUUUGAUUUUGAAAAUUUAUUCAGAAAAAUUUAAGCCACGCUCUUUUUUUUCCCCCAACACAAGAAAUAAUAUGCUCUGGAGAACCCGCUAAUUCACAGAAAAUGGACUGGGCUAACAUUCGGCUUCUCAUCCUACCACAGUCCUCUUGAGAAGGACGGCCAGGCGCCAGCAUUUAGCAGCUGCUGCUUCUGAACCACGAACCACACACCCUGAUCAAGAACGCUGCUAGGAUUGUAUUGUAUUCCUUGUGAGCUGAGUUCCACAAGCACGGGAAACAGAGAGAGCUACACAGUUUGUCUACAAUUGCUGGAGCUGAGGAGGCUAAUAAUGAAGGGGCCAGGGAAGGAGGCCAAUACUACAAGGGUUAUCUCCCCACCUCAGAUGCUGGAUAAGUUGAAGGAGGCAGACUCGCUUCUGGAUGACAUUCAGAAAGGCUGGGGCGAUUAUUUGGAAGAGAAAACCCUGCCUCUGUUUUCAAAGGUACGUGAAUAUUGUCGAGACCUGCCCGUCUAAAGGUCCCGUCCUUAGAAUCCUGCCUUAGACAAAGGAUGCACUUGGAGCCCGAACACACCUAAAACCACGUUUUGAAGGAUCUGCCAAGCUCACUUUUAAUCAUGAGGAGGAAAUUACCCACAUGGAGGCAGCAGAAAAUGAGAAAGUAGAGUUCGUGCCGCGAUUAAUUCCAGCGAGUGCCAAGGGGCUAGUUGAGGAAUGGCUUCAUGAGAUGUUAGUCUGUCUAGAACAACACCUGAGGAUCUAAGCCGGACCUUUGAGAAAGAAACGACUUCAAGGAAAGACUCCUUUCCCUAUGGUUUAAUUCCUUACUUUUUACCUGGAUUGUAUCAGAUGCACUCUCAAACUAAACUAUGCUCACCCUUUCUGCUCUCUGCGUUUUUUUUUUUUUUUUUGCUUGAACUGCUUAGCAUUGACUAUCGAAAUGCAUAUUCAUUCUGGACUUUUAAAAGAGAAUUCUAAUAAAACCUUAUUUGUGUUUGUUUUUAA